GAUGAACGCUGGCGGCGUGCCUAAUACAUGCAAGUCGAGCGAACGGACGAGAAGCUUGCUUUUCUGAUGUUAGCGGCGGACGGGUGAGUAACACGUGGAUAACCUACCUAUAAGACUGGGAUAACUUCGGGAAACCGGAGCUAAUACCGGAUAAUAUUUUGAACCGCAUGGUUCAAAAGUGAAAGACGGUCUUGCUGUCACUUAUAGAUGGAUCCGCGCUGCAUUAGCUAGUUGGUAAGGUAACGGCUUACCAAGGCAACGAUGCAUAGCCGACCUGAGAGGGUGAUCAGCCACACUGGAACUGAGACACGGUCCAGACUCCUACGGGAGGCAGCAGUAGGGAAUCUUCCGCAAUGGGCGAAAGCCUGACGGAGCAACGCCGCGUGAGGGAAGAAGGUCUUCGGAUCGUAAAACUCUGUUAUUAGGGAAGAACAUAUGUGUAAGUAACUGUGCACAGCUUGACGGUACCGAAUCAGAAAGCCACGGCUAACUACGUG
rnacentral:rRNA from 1 species